UACGUAGGGUGCAAGCGUUGUCCGGAAUUAUUGGGCGUAAAGAGCUCGUAGGCGGUUCGUCGCGUCGGCUGUGAAAUCCCGAGGCUCAACCUCGGGUCUGCAGUCGAUACGGGCGGACUGGAGUUCGGCAGGGGAGACUGGAAUUCCGUGUGAGCGGUGAAAUGCGCAGAUAUCAGGAGGAACACCGGUGGCGAAGGCGGGUCUCUGGGCCGAUGACUGACGCUGAGGAGCGAAAGCGUGGGGAGCGAACAGG
rnacentral:rRNA from 1 species